AGUCACUGACAUUAGAUACCCCCUGUAGUCCAGGGUGUAAACGCUGCAGACCUGGUGUUGGAGGCCCUUUGGGGGCAUUCAGUGCCGGAGAGAAGUUGUUAAGUCUGCUACUUGGGGAGUACGUCCGCAAGGAUGAAACUUAAAGGAAUUGGCGGGGGAGCACCGCAACGGGAGGAGCGUGCGGUUUAAUUGGAUUCAACACCGUAAAACUCACCAGGGAAGACUGUUACAUGAAGGCCGAGAUGAAGACUCUGCUAGAUUUUCAG
rnacentral:rRNA from 1 species